UCAGGAUAUAACACAAAGGCACCUUUUAGCAUAUAGGUCAAAGGUGGUUUCUUCCAGAGGAAAUGAAGCACAAAUGUUUUUUAAGCUUCCUAGACUGUCAGCCUUCCACUGGGUUGAAUCUGAGUAUGAGAAUUAUUUCUUUUCUUUUUUUUUUUUUUUCCCAGGGAAUAUUUUCAGAAAUUUUGCAGGUCCAGGUGGAGAGUUGGUUCAUCCUCACAUUUCCUCAAAGUGUUUGUGGUUGACUUCUAUACUGGUUGAAGAAAAGACCUCUGGACUCAAAAGCGAGAACUUCCAGUUAAAAGUUAGAUUCUCAUGAUGUGUUUUCUGAUGCCACAUUGAAAUCAUAUUUGUAUUACAUAUAAGUAUUAAAAAGUCUGCAUAAUUUCACAGGAAAAAUAUUAUUGCAUUAUUAUACAUCUGCUCAGAAAUAGGUGCUUGUAGUCGACAUUCUGAGAUAUUUUUGUGCCCACUGAUAUCAGUAUAUGGGCUUUUAAAUACCACUAGAGAAAUGUUUUGAAAUUUCACAAUAAAAUGUUAGCUAUUAAAUUCCAUACACUAUAUUUUAACCCUACAUUUAAAUGGAUUUAAAAAUUAUUCAUAAUUAUAAGCUUUCAUAAUAAAAUGCUGGCAGCUGACAUAGAGAAAUGACAUUUUAAAUGAAAUCAUGAAAAUGCUGCACUAAGAACAUCUAGAUUUCAUGUGGCAGGAGAAAGAUCUGUUGGUGCUUGGCCCUAUAAUAUCAAAGAAUUUCUUGUAGAAAAUACCUGACACCACAAAAUCAGUCAGUGCUUAGUAUUCCAUAAGAAGUAGAAAAUAGUCUUAAAUCUGUCUAAAUUCACACUGCAAUUGUCUACUCGGCCCCAGCAAUUAUACUUGACAUCAUCAUCAUAAUUAAUGUGUUUAUAUUUUUUUGCCUGCCUUUUGUUUUCUUUCUAAGCUCCCAUGUGAAUCCUUACAUUUUAAUUAAGAAAAGGGGUCAAAGUUCAAAUGCUAAGUUGAAUUGCAGAUUAAACUUCAAAAUAUAAAGCUCAAUAUUGAAUUGAAUAUUAAGCUUGGCAGUACUGGACUUUUAGAAAUUAUAUUAUUUUAUUUUUUCUAUUUAGUUCUAAUUAAAUAUUUUUCUAAAUGGCCUUGAGACAUCAGAAAUCAGCAAAAAAGGGUUAGGAAUCUCAAAUUGGAACAAAUGUCAGUAAUAGGUAAAGUAGUAACACUUGCAAAAACUUACUGUCAUAUUUAUCUCACCAAACCAAACCAACAACAACACCAAAAUUCUUGUAUGGAGAUGUGUGUGUGUGCUCUUAUAUGCUAAAAUUAAGGUAUGCAUUGACUUUCAUGGGUUUGGAUCAAGCCUUACACGGGAUUACUGUAAACUGCAAGUUUAAUGAAGUCAUGGUAUCUAAAAUUAGAAGAUUGCCCAAGGAAAUGUAUUGUAAAAAAUUUUGGCUACAAUUUUCAACAUCACUGGAAAAUUAACAUAUAAAUUAAUAACACAGCUACUGCCAGAAGCGCUUAUGAGGGCAGCUUGUUGGAUUAGGCAGUAACACAUAAUUAGUAGCUAUUACCAAGGAUAUCUAGAUUCAGCAGUACCUGAGAGAAAUGGGAACUUGUUUGCCCUUCUCAUCUACUAUUCUUUAAAAUUAAAGAUAACUUCUACAUGUAAGGCACUGUUGCAUUUAACUUCAAGCUGCAGGCUUAGCUAAGAAUUGAUAUGUACCAAAGGGAGAAAUGAUGGCUUUACAGUUAAAAACAUUUAUUCAGAACCAAAUCAGCAAUGUUUGUAAACCACUGAGCAAAAUAAAGAUCUAAAGUAAGACUGCAUAUUGAAAAAUACCAGAAAAAAAUCAGAUUCUGUAUUUUGGGUAAGAUCCAUCUGCAAAUGACUAUGAAAGUAUAUAUUUCUUCCAUGGGUCAUUUAUGCUGUCUUGACAUGAGAAAGGUCAUACACACCACCACUGUCAACAUUAUAAAUACACAUUGUAAGACUGACAGCCCCUCCUUAGUGCAACUACUGUGAGGUACUAUAGCUACCCUCACUAUUCGAGAGUCCUGAGAUUUAAUUUUCUCAGUAUAUAUGUCCAUGGAGACGGCUCAUAUAUAACACCGGAGAGGUCAAAGCUCAUGAAGCAAAGAAGGAAUGUGACUGGACAUGAGUAAGAUAAAAUUCUGUUCAUAAGAGCCACUAAUUACUUCUGUCUCUGCUCCAAAGAUUGAUUAUUUUUAAACAGUGAAAUAGCUCUCUCAGAAAGAUGAAGUAGAAGGCUCAGUAGCUCAGGUGACAGCCAGGGAUUUUGUGCUCCUGAUAGACUGAGAUUUCAGAACUCAACUUGCUUUCUUUAAAGCGGAGACUUGAGUUGGAAUUUUCACAGUGAAAAGUUAACCAGAUAGGCCAGGAUUUUCUGAACUUGAAUGAAACUAAACAUCAUUACGUGAACAAGCUACCCAGACUUCUUAUCAGAGAUGACAAUAGGAUAUAACUUCUUGAGCUAUUGCAGUUUACCAUUGACACUUAGUUCACAUCUUGAUUCACUGAAAAUAUACAUGUGGAUAAAAAGUGAGGAGCAUAUAUUCAAAACAAAAAAUCAUUUACAUUGAAGCAAAUAUAAAUGCUAAUCCAGUAGUCAAAAUUGCAAAAUAGACUCAGUUUUGUGUUCCAUUUAGUGCUUGCAAUUAACUCUAAUGAUGCUUACUGCCGAAGAAACAUAUCCAAUGUAAAAUUAGAUUACUUUUUUUUCAUUUUCCCUAGCAGAUUAUUCUAGAUAUACAGUGGCAUAGUAGAAAUAAGAGUACUAAAGUAAAACAAACAAAAAAAAACUAAAGUAAAACAACAACAAUUAAUAAUAAUAAUAAUAAUAAUAAUAAUAAUAAUAAUAAUAAUAAUAAUAAUAGCUGUUGAUUUACUCAAAAAUGCUCUCUUCAGGACUUAGAGAGCACUUAAUUUCCUCUCCUUUUUAUAGUUUUAUUUUUAUAGAUAGUAUUCUGUGGUGUCCAUGUAACAUUGACAUAUUACUUGGACUACAGUUUUCAAAGUCUUGCAAUUUAAUUUUUUUCCCCUUAUACAGCAAGUGUAUAUUACACGAGUUUUAGGAUUGUUUUUCAGUCAACUCCCUUCAAUCCUCUUAACUCUGCAAAUAGACACUUUGUAUUUUAUGUACAAAUAGUAAAGUUUUUUAAAGAGUCAUUCAUAUUACUUGGGAUGUGAAUAUCACAUUUAUCAGUGUUAUAGGGUGUGCAGAACAUCAUAAAUCCUCAUCAUCUGUAGAUUUUCUCAAAGUGUUAACAAUGGCUGCUCCUAACAGUAACACAAGUAGUGUUAAGUACUGCAGAACAUUUGAAAGCUUCAGCUGUUUUCAAGUCAGGCAUGUACCUGAAGCUUUAGUUGUACUAAUAAGAACCAGUGUUGUCUAGAAAUAUGCAAGCAAUCUCACUGAUUUAAGGGAUACUGAAGUGUUCACAGGUCCUUGAGGGUAAAGGAGAGGAAAGAUUCCCUUGAAAUGACAGUAUCAGGAAUUGCUCAGUAAGGUAAGUACCCGAAGGUUUGCAAUUUGCCCUGACUCUCCCCAUGUCAACAGUAGCAAUGUUUCAUCUUUGCUAUUACCAUUACAUGAGAUUUAUUUAAUGCCUGGAUUAUAUGAAAUAGUUUUAUUGAAAUAGGUACCUCCCCUUUUUCUUUCAUUCAUUCCUGUCAAGUCCUGUCUGAUUAUGACGUGUUGAGGUCUUCUGCUGGAUAAAAUUCUAAUGGGGGAAGGGGGGAAAAGCAUGACUGCCCAAAGCUUAAUCGAUUUGAUGACCAUGUUAAUCUAAGUCAGCACUACUCAACAGGUUUGGUUGUCCAAAUGUAAUAAAUACAUUUUACAUGGGUUAUAAUUUCAUAAUACUUGGCUAUUCAUAUUGCAUAUUCCAAUGAAUACUCUGUCUGAAGGCCAUACUCUGCCUGAAGCCAGAUAGCUCUGCUAAGAAGAAAAAGAAGCUAAGAAGGCUAAGAAGACAGCCUCACACUCAGUCUGUGCCCCACAAGUUUUAUAGAUACAAAUUCCUGGAACACUUGGCUCUGGAAACUCAAGGGUGAAGUCCAGUAAAAUUACCAAGGAUAAUACAAUGACAUUUGCAGGAAAGCAAGUAAUCACAUAGCUUCUUUCCAAAAACAGCCACAUAAAAUAACCUCAUAUUUUUUGGUUAGGAAAAUGAUACAUUUUCAGCUACAGACCUUAAUCCUAUUUUAAACAGAGAGUAGAAUAUAAUAUAUGUGAAAGUACAGGUCUGAAAUUAUGCAUCUACUGAAAGAUUCCUGAUAGAGAGUGAAAAACAGGUGCCCUGGUGUAAAGAUCUAGCUAUAAUACCUCACAUAAACUAUUGAAUCUUAAGUAGAUGAAAGUACUGAAAAUUUGUAAUGAGCAUUUGAGCAAACCAUGAAAAGGCAGAGUUCUUGAAUUUGUUUGCAAUCUCUUUGCAUUAAUUGAUAUGUGCACUGUCUAUUACUAAUAUUUUUAUGGCCAUUUUUCUGGAUCAGAACAAUGCAGCUGUGGAAGAACUGCGUGAAAAAAUUAGGCAUGUCAUAAGCCUGGUAAAAACAAAGCAGUGAGCACCUGAGAAAUUGGACAAAUAAGAGGUCAACACAGUAAUCUUCAAUGUUCAAGGAAUGGUACAAAGAUGGAAGAGAUAUCUUUCCUGCCUUGUCACCAAAAACUGAGAAGAGCCUUGGAGCACUGAAAUACACCAGUAUUUGGACAUUUUCAUCAGUGGACAUUUUAAAGAAUUGACAAGAACUACUGGAAAUUGUUUAGGACAUGUAGGAGCAAACAGUUACUGCACUGAAGCCAGAACACGUAAGACUUUGUAUUUUAUUUCGAUUAAUAAACCUAUCAAAAGGACAUAAAAGAUUGUUGGUCAGGAAAAGGCCACCUGCCUCGGCCUAAGUUCCAUUUCUGACAUCCCAGUGGGACCUGCUAAAAAUGGAUACAAUAAGGAGAAAAAUUAAGCUAGAUACCUAGGUUCUACAUAGGAAGAUCUAUGAUACCUGCAUCCUUUGAAAUGGCUCAUCCCAAUGAGAGGAAAGGAUAAGGUUUCCUGCAUAUCUGGCCGUAAAUGCUGGACAGCAUCUCCAGAGCUGGGCAUGACAAAAAGAAAAGCAAUUCCUGUUUGAUGCAGAGUCCAGGUGUCCCAAAGAAUCACUACAUAGGUACUGUCUACUGUCUGGGCCUUUAUCUACAACAGCAAGUUUUGCCUACCUAAUCACUACAUGGUGCAAAUCUGACUGUUAUGCUCAUAUUCUUGUUUGCUUACUUCCAAAAAAAAAAAGCAUUUUCUGGAUCCUGAGUGUCCUAGAUUGCAAAGCAAGAUGUUUGCAAGAGGUGUGGCAGUUAUCUACUGUUAAUUGGGCAGUUUUCUUUAUCUCUUCCACAAACUAAUCCUCUGCCCCAGGAAGACAUCUGCUGUUAAUGGCCUAUUGAAUGUCACUGCAUGACUGAUAAAAGUUACAACAUUCCAUUGUGAGAUGCUCUGCCCAGAAGGAGGAGCCAAGCAUUCCUAACUGAAUAUAACCUGAGUUUUUGGGACACCAGACUCAGCCUUUCCACUGGAUUUCCAGAGGAACAGCUGCCUUUUCCACUGUAGUCUUCAGAGGAAGAGUACACCCUUCUACAGGAUCACUGCUCCAACAGAAACAUAUCUGCCACUACAGGAGGACUGCAGCCAUUCCAAAUUGGAUGGUUCAAUUCCAAACUACUUGACCAAGAGGGUGUCAGGUUGUAUUCUGACUCUGUCAGUGUUUUGGUUUUUAUUUCUUCUUUUUUAUUAUUGUAUGCAUUUUGUUUUCUUUCCAUUUUCCUAAUAAAUUGUAUUUCUGA